UAUCCAUCUGGGACGCGUACACCCCAAAAUGAAGUCAUAUUGGACUGUCUUUUGAGGGAGAAUGCUAGAUACUAAAGGACUGUAAUUUCUUUUCUUCUGUGAAUCCAAAGGUUAUGUUCAUGACCUCGAGUUGGUACUAUAUGACCUAUCAUGAAAACGAAGUUAUUUUCAUUGUCCCUGCUUUCCUAAAUGUAGGAUCAUCUUAAAAUAUGAUCUACAUUCUUUGUUCCUAACUACAAGACUUACUCGCCUUCACUAAAACAAACACUUUGAAUAAGUCCACUUCAAGCAGUCCCAAUCACUUUGUAUAACUGACUGUUCUACCACUUUUUGCGUCAUAUGCAGCUAAGAAGUUUUCUUCCACUAACAAAAAGAAUGGAUUAGAUGACUGGGGUAAAAUAAAAAAAUCAAAAUUCCACAAACACUGCUAAGAAGACUUUUUCUCUUUUUUUUCUAAUACUUUUAUGAAUAUCCUAAAUAUGCUAACCAGUUAUGCAACACCUGAAUGGUCGGCAUCCAACUUCUUAGAGGGACAAGUGGCAUUCAGCCGCCCGAGACUGAGCAAUAACAGGUCUGCGAUGCCCUUAGAUGUCCAGGGCUUCACACGUGCUACACUGACAGCUCCGCUUGUGCCCACCCUCCACCGGCGGGCGCAGGUAACCUGUUGAAACCCAUCCGUGAUGGGGAUCAGGGAUUGCAAUUCUUCCCUGUGAACGAGGAAUUCCCAGUAAGUGUGGGUCAUAAACUCACAUUGAUUAAUUCCCUGCCAUUUGUACACACUGACUGUCACUGACCGUCACUACUACUGAUUGGAUGGUUUAGUGAGGUCCUUGGAUCAGCCCUGGUGGGGUCGGCCCCAGCCCUGCCAGAGCGCUGAGAAGACUGUCAAACUUGACUAUUUAGAGGAAGUAAAAGUCAUAGCAAGGUUUCCGUAGGAGAACCUGUGGAAGGAUCAUUAAGAGAAAUGGAGCACCUCUCCUAUAAAGACAGGCUGAGAGAGCUGGGGUUGUUCAGCCUGGAGAAGAGAAGGCUCCAGGGAGACCU
rnacentral:ncRNA from 1 species